rnacentral:rRNA from 1 species
AUUGAACGCUGGCGGCAUGCUUUACACAUGCAAGUCGAACGGUAACAGGGAGCUUGCUCCGCUGACGAGUGGCGAACGGGUGAGUAAUGCGUCGGAACGUGCCGAGUAGUGGGGGAUAGCGCAUCGAAAGGUGUGCUAAUACCGCAUACGAACUGAGGUUGAAAGUGGGGGACCUUCGGGCCUCACGCUAUUCGAGCGGCCGACGUCUGAUUAGCUAGUUGGUGAGGUAAAGGCUCACCAAGGCGACGAUCAGUAGCGGGUCUGAGAGGAUGAUCCGCCACACUGGGACUGAGACACGGCCCAGACUCCUACGGGAGGCAGCAGUGGGGAAUUUUGGACAAUGGGCGCAAGCCUGAUCCAGCCACGCCGCGUGUCUGAAGAAGGCCUUCGGGUUGUAAAGGACUUUUGUCCGGGAGCAAAUGCUGGUGGCUAACAUCCACCGGAGCUGAGAGUACCGGAAGAAUAAGCACCGGCUAACUACGUGCCAGCAGCCGCCGUAAUAC